rnacentral:misc_RNA from 1 species
CAGCAUUCCGAGGUUCCAGUGGUGGGUGUUGCCUCGACUGUGAUAGCGGGCGGCUGCUGCGUUCACCAUGCCUACGCCGAGGCAUCGGCACACGUUACUCGGCUUUUCUGACGCGUUAGACUGGAGAGCCUUGAACUUCGUGGACCCAAUUCCACCAAACAUAGUAUGUAAGGCGUGCGGCCUAGUAACCAGGGUGACCGCUUUUCUGCCUUGCCUGCACGUUUUCUGCAAGAAGUGCUACGAACAGUGCAGCGAUGACGACGUGCACUGCUGUCCCCUCGACGGUCAACGUGCCGUCAAAGAAGACGUCCAAUGGAUCGAGUAUCCUGUGAGGAACCUGCUCAAAAGGAAGGUUAAGUGCUGGAACGAAGACCGAGGCUGCGACAUUGUUUUGCCUGCAUCGGAACUCAACAGGCACUUUUGCAAAGACUGUGACCACCACUCCACUUGCUGUCCGAGAUGUUCGAUGGUUGUACGGUGUAAUUAUGUGUGCACGCACUUGCAGAGCGAGUGCAGGGAUCACGUGAUGUC